rnacentral:rRNA from 1 species
UCUCCUGGAAACGGGUGGUAAUGCCGGAUGUUCCACAUGAUCGCAUGUGAUUGUGGGAAAGAUUUCAUCGGCGUGGGAUGGGGUCGCGUCCUAUCAGCUUGUUGGUGAGGUAACGGCUCACCAAGGCUUCGACGGGUAGCCGGCCUGAGAGGGCGACCGGCCACAUUGGGACUGAGAUACGGCCCAGACUCCUACGGGAGGCAGCAGUGGGGAAUAUUGCACAAUGGGCGCAAGCCUGAUGCAGCGACGCCGCGUGAGGGAUGGAGGCCUUCGGGUUGUAAACCUCUUUUGUUUGGGAGCAAGCCUUCGGGUGAGUGUACCUUUCGAAUAAGCGCCGGCUAACUACGUGCCAGCAGCCGCGGUAAUACGUAGGGCGCAAGCGUUAUCCGGAUUUAUUGGGCGUAAAGGGCUCGUAGGCGGCUCGUCGCGUCCGGUGUGAAAGUCCAUCGCUUAACGGUGGAUCUGCGCCGGGUACGGGCGGGCUGGAGUGCGGUAGGGGAGACUGGAAUUCCCGGUGUAACGGUGGAAUGUGUAGAUAUCGGGAAAGAACACCA